rnacentral:lncRNA from 1 species
AAAUGCGCCAAGUCCGUUUUUGCAUCCAUUUUGUGCAAAAACGACUCCAAUUCAGUCCGACAUUCUCUAGAUGUGUCGACCAAUCGCUAAAACUGUAGCCAAUCCGAUACCAAAACCCCCGGGACACUACAUGAAACAUGACCUUAUAAAACUCCAAAAUAUUAUAGAUGCCCCUUCAUAAUUUAAAAUAUCAUCAAAUACUCUUUUCAACAUAUAAAUUUAUCAUAAAUACCCCUCUAAAUAUAUAAGUUUAUACAAAUACCACUAUACACCCUAAAUUGUUAGCCUAAACCAUAAACCCUUUUA